rnacentral:rRNA from 1 species
GAUGAACGCUGGCGGCGUGCCUAACACAUGCAAGUCGAGCGAGAAGUAAAGAAAUGAAGCUUCGGUAGAUUUUCAUUAUGGAAAGCGGCGGACGGGUGAGUAACGCGUAGGCAACCUGCCCUGUACAGGGGGAUAGCCACCCGAAAAGGUGAUUAAUACCCCAUGAUGCAAGAGAUACACAUGUAUCACUUGUCAAAGAUUUAUCGGUAUGGGAUGGGCCUGCGUCUGAUUAGCUAGUUGGUAGGGUAACGGCUUACCAAGGCAACGAUCAGUAGCCGACCUGAGAGGGUGAUCGGCCACAUUGGAACUGAGACACGGUCCAA